CUGGAGGACCGAACCGACUAAUGUUGAAAAAUUAGCGGAUGACUUGUGGCUGGGGGUGAAAGGCCAAUCAAACCGGGAGAUAGCUGGUUCUCCCCGAAAGCUAUUUAGGUAGCGCCUCGUGAAUUCAUCUCCGGGGGUAGAGCACUGUUUCGGCAAGGGGGUCAUCCCGACUUACCAACCCGAUGCAAACUGCGAAUACCGGAGAAUGUUAUCACGGGAGACACACGGCGGGUGCUAACGUCCGUCGUGAAGAGGGAAACAACCCAGACCGCCAGCUAAGGUCCCAAAGUCAUGGUUAAGUGGGAAACGAUGUGGGAAGGCCCAGACAGCCAGGAUGUUGGCUUAGAAGCAGCCAUCAUUUAAAGAAAGCGUAAUAGCUCACUGGUCGAGUCGGCCUGCGCGGAAGAUGUAACGGGGCUAAACCAUGCACCGAAGCUGCGGCAGCGACACUAUGUGUUGUUGGGUAGGGGAGCG
rnacentral:rRNA from 1 species